UGGGGAAUAUUGGACAAUGGGCGAAAGCCUGAUCCAGCCAUGCCGCGUGUGUGAAGAAGGUCUUCGGAUUGUAACGCACUUUAAGUUGGGAGGAAGGGCAGUAAGCGAAUACCUUGCUGUUUUGACGUUACCGACAGAAUAAGCACCGGCUAACUCUGUGCCAGCAGCCGCGGUAAUACAGAGGGUGCAAGCGUUAAUCGGAAUGACUGGGCGUAAAGCGCGCGUAGGUGGUUCGUUAAGUUGAAUGUGAAAGCCCCGGGCUCAACCUGGGAACUGCAUCCAAAACUGGCGAGCUAGAGUAGGGCAGGGGGUGGUGGAAUUUCCUGUGUAGCGGUGAAAUGCGUAGAUAUAGGAAGGAACACCAGUGGCGAAGGCGGCCACCUGGGCGGAUACUGACACUGAGGUGCGAAAGCGUGGGGGGCAAACAAG
rnacentral:rRNA from 1 species